AGAGAGAGACAUGCGCGCAUAUCAAUAAGCGGAGGAAAAGAAACUAACAAGGAUUCCCCUAGUAACGGCGAGUGAAGCGGGAAGAGCUCAAAUUUGAAAUCUUAAAGGGUUUCCCUUUACGAAUUGUAGUUUAAAGAAGUGUUUUCUGUUGAGGUUUUGGUAAAAGUUCUUUGGAAUAGGACAUCAUAGAGGGUGAGAAUCCCGUAUUUGACCUUUACUUUCAACUUUGUGAUACACUUUCAAAGAGUCGGAUUGUUUGGGAAUGCAGUCCAAAAUGGGUGGUAAAUUUCAUCUAAAGCUAAAUAUUGGCGAGAGACCGAUAGCGAACAAGUACCGUGAGGGAAAGAUGAAAAGAACUUUGAAAAGAGAGUUAAACAGUACGUGAAAUUGUCAAAAGGGAAGCGUUUGACACCAGUGUUGUUUUUCUGAAAAUCAAUUAAAGAACUGUUUAUGCUAAGUUGUUUAGACUUUAUCAGCUAACUGUUUAGUUUUGAGCUUUUCUUUAAUGCACUUUUCAGUUAACAAGUCAACAUCAAUUUCUUUUGCUGUAAAAAAGCUUGAGGAAGGUGGCUUGAGAUUCGUCUUAAGUGUUUAUAGCCUCUUGCCUAUGCAGUCGGAGAGAUUGAGGUCUGCAGCGUAGAUCCUUCGGGGCUAAAUGCAUUUGUGCUAAGUUAUAACAUUUUAUAGACAACUUGUUGACUAUGAUUUGUCUUGUAGCUUACUCGCUUAUGUUAUUUUACCUACGCUUAGGAUGUUGACGCAUGAGAUAUACG
rnacentral:rRNA from 1 species